rnacentral:rRNA from 1 species
AUUGAACGCUGGCGGCAUGCCUUACACAUGCAAGUCGAACGGUAACAGGUCUUCGGAUGCUGACGAGUGGCGAACGGGUGAGUAAUACAUCGGAACGUGCCUAGUAGUGGGGGAUAACUACUCGAAAGAGUGGCUAAUACCGCAUGAGAUCUACGGAUGAAAGCAGGGGAUCGCAAGACCUUGUGCUACUAGCGCGGCCGAUGGCAGAUUAGGUAGUUGGUGGGAUAAAAGCUUACCAAGCCGACGAUCUGUAGAUGGUCUGAGAGGACGAUCAGCCACACUGGGACUGAGACACGGCCCAGACUCCUACGGGAGGCAGCAGUGGGGAAUUUUGGACAAUGGGCGCAAGCCUGAUCCAGCAAUGCCGCGUGCAGGAUGAAGGCCUUCGGGUUGUAAACUGCUUUUGUACGGAACGAAAAGCCCUGGGUUAAUACCCUGGGGUCAUGACGGUACCGUAAGAAUAAGCACCGGCUAACUACGUGCCAGCAGCCGCCGUAACAC